AUCACUUCUGAGCCUCUUUGCUAACACCAAAUGUCAUAUCUGUUCUUAUUAGUGUAACACCUGAUUCUUCAUCUGAGAACAAUAUAUUAGAUAAAUAUUUGGAGCUGAAACAACAUGGACAGGCACUUGUCUUAUUCACUCAUACACCCACCACCCUGAUACUGCGGUACCUCCAGGCAAUCACCCCUU